GCACCUGAAUAUAUAGGGUGUAAGAAGCGAACGCAGGGAACUGAAACAUCUAAGUACCUGCAGGAAAGGACAUCAACCGAGACUCCGUUAGUAGUGGCGAGCGAACGCGGACCAGGCCAGUGGCAUCAGGAGAUAAAGUCGAACGGAAUGGAAAGUCCGGCCUCAGCGGGUGAUAGCCCCGUAGACGUAGAAGACCUGAUGUCCUUGAGUAGGGCGGGACACGUGAAAUCCUGUCUGAACAUGGGGAGACCACUCUCCAAGCCUAAGUACUCGUGCAUGACCGAUAGCGAACAAGUACCGUGAGGGAAAGGUGAAAAGCACCCCGACAAGGGGGAGUGAAAUAGAACCUGAAACCGGUUGCCUACAAACAGUGGAAGCCCGAUAAGGGUGACUGCGUACCUUUUGUAUAAUGGGUCAACGACUUAGUGUACAAGCAAGCUUAAGCCGGUAGGUGUAGGCGCAGCGAAAGCGAGUCUGAAUAGGGCGAUAUAGUUUGUUGCAUUAGACCCGAAACCAGGUGAUCU
rnacentral:rRNA from 1 species